CGGCCGCGCGCCUCGCUGGCGCAGCGCGUCGACUACGUGCUGCGGGAGAGCCUGCGAGCCGCACCGCGCGCAUUUUAAUCAACGCAAAGAUGACCACGAAAUGAAAAUGCAGUAUACCGAGUUACCAGUAAGCGACUGUAGCUUGUAAUAUCCUUAAAUGUAAAAUAUUUGUCCCUCGGACAGUAACACAAAAUUUGAAGAAAACGCUGGAUUUGCCACAUUUUUAGGUUGUCGGUAAUUUUUGUAAUUUGUAAUUCUUUUUUGUAUAAUGUUUUAAAACUAUUUUAUCAUUAUUGAAACUUGAGACAUGAAGAUUAGUUUAUUAUAACUUCCAUAUUUUACUUGAAAUAUCUCUCCGAGACCAGUCAGGUUAAUUUAAAAAGGUUAUUAUAAUUAUGUUGUUGAAUGUUUUAUUAAAUCAAUUGGUUUUGGGUUCUAAACUCGUUAGGAAUAAAUUUUAGAUAUAAGAAAUAUAUUGUUAGGUAUAUGUCGAUUACGUUUAUAUAUCGUUUUUAAUAUAUUUCUAUUAAACAGUUGAUUGAAGAUAUCCAAUAUUUAAAAAAAAUCAUUUGAUUUUGGCCUAAAGGACUUUUUUUCGAAUAUUCAAUUGUAUAUUUUAAAAUUUUUGCAGUUUCUCAUAAAUAUUAGUAAAAUAUUUAAUUUUUAAAAGUUCCUUUGUGUAGUUUACUGUGAGGCGGUAUUAAAGCUUAAAAUAGUUCACGAUUUACUAUAAACAUCUCAUUAUGCACUUAGUGAAAGUAACGCUAAUCCUUCGUAGAUGUUUGACGCUUGUAAAUAGCUUUAAGAUUUCCUAAGUGAAAAGAAAGAAAAAGAUCUGUGAAAAUUGUAUAAUUUAUGUACCAUACAAAUUAGAAAAGAAGCGUAAGUCAUAGUAAAAGUCAAUUUUCACCAAGUUACUGACAGAGUGUAUAUGUAUAAAUAUAUUCAAUCUGUAGUUAUAAACUUGUCUAUGGUAGAACGAUUAAUUAUGACCAAAAAGUUCUAUUGUUAAUAUUUAAAAAAAGCCGCAUCAAAAAUUUUAUCAUAUCAAAGGUGGCAAAUAAUUGGGUAACAAGUUUAUAAAUACAGAUUAUAUUAUAUAAUAUCAAAGAUAAUAGAGUUUCCUAGUAAUUUCUAAUAUGUAUAGAAAAAAUGAGAAAAGCCGAAUGAUAUGUUUACUGGCAUCAUCUCGCAAAAAUACGAAUUUAUCGUAGUUAACGACAAAAUAAAAUUUUUAAAAAGUUAGUUAACCCACGCCAAGGGCAGCAUGGAAUCGCCAUGCUAUUAUUAUCUAAAAAUGCGAUUUUAGGUAGACCAAAAUAAAAUAUAUUACAUUUGGUAAAUAAAAUUCAACAGUAUUUAUAUAGGCAGAGCUAUUAGACGUAGGACUAAUAAUAGGCUUAGAAGUCAAAUGUUCCCCAGAAGUCCUUUUAUUCAAGACGAAAAUAUUUUAAAGUCUACGCGACACAUAUAUACUAAAGAUUUGUAUUAUUUUUGACAAAUACAAUGGUAAUGUAAUGUAUAAUACAUUCUUUUAAAAUAUAUGCAGCCAAUAUUAAUAAUUUUAUACACUGAUAAA